GCAUAUCAUUCAGUAAGGACAGCUUUUGAAAGGCCCAUAAGAAAUACACGUAACGGACUAGAACAACAAUAAUCGACCGUUGGGUAAGGACAUGACCUUGAAUUUUGGCUAGAAACUGUAGUGGCAAACCUUGUUACUAAAUAAAUUUACCACCAUGUCAACAUUGUGCGUCAAAUUUGACAUUUUAGAUGUUUGGUAUUUAAUAUUGUAACGGUGAUUUAUUAUUUUUACUGAAUAGAAAAUGCGCGUUCGAACAAAUAAAUAAAAUAAAUAAUAUUGUGGAAACUGUACACAGGGCACAGGGGUGCGGUAUGCUGGUAUGGACACAGUUACGAGGGCAGCUUUUAUAUAUCGGCCACAUGAAGGGCUGCAACAUAAAAGGUGAAUGCUUCAUGUAGCAUCUUAAGCGCGCCACUCACGUUUCAACGCCGCAGAACAAUUGUGUUUGAUAUGACCAAAUUGAAGUGUUUUUGAACGUCUGUGUAUGCAAAUCGGUUGGAUGUGGACGGUCGGUGAACAAGUCUGUCUGCAGCAGUACAAUCGUGUUGUAUUGCAUGGAAAUUUGAUGAUGUGUGGACAUGGCUCGACAGUGUAUGUUAUUCAAAUCGUGAGAGCAGCUAUAAAAGUACAUUUUCGUCAUAUUGUCGGACAUGUUGUCAUCACGAUCGCAAAUUUUUAACUGCAAGGUCGUAACGUGUGUGUGUACUGCUGCUUUUUAACAGAAUUGUACAACAGUUGCAUCCAAUGGGACGUUGGAGUGUGAAUGGCCAGCUUUAGGAUUGCCAAAAUGGUGGAUCAUCAUCAAAGACAUUGAAGUGACAGAGAAGUUUAUCAUAUAUGAUGACAUUACGUGCAACGGCAAAAUAACUACAUGUUUCACAGGUAUAUUUCAUCAAGCAUUUCUUCAGUAAGUAUCCACAGACAUAACUUAAAGAAUUUUGUUCCUCCAUGUCCAGAUGUCUGUAGUCUGUCAUAUUUACUUCCACAGAUUUAUGUGCAAAAGUUGUUCAACUUAAAACUCUAUUAAUAAUUUGACACUGGUUACUUUCUUUAGAUUCAGUUGCUAGUAAAAUAGAUCCUAAAUCAUUACAACUAUUGGAAUUUUCACUGUGCUGUAAAAAUUGCAUACCAAAUAAUUUUUGUAUUGAUUAUAGAAUAAUAUACUUCUUUAUAUUUCUUAUCUUACAGAUUCCGAGGGAAAUUUAAAGAAGCCUCUGAAGCAGGUUUUUUUAUUGUGCCUGGAAUCACGAGGUGGUCUACCACUAUAGUCCAUGUUACUAUGAAAAAGUUCUCAGAAUUACUUCACUAAUUUAACUAACAACAAAAAUUCAACCAAAAACAUCAAAGUACUUUUCCCAGGGAAGAUGAAAACAACAGCGUUCACUUUCUGACUCUUCAAACGGUUCACACUUGGCGAAAAUUGAAGGCAUUGACAAAAUAGGUAGUUGAUAUGUUUAUGUUGAAAUUAACUUGGUAAAGUGAUAGACUUUUAUUAAUGAAUAAAAUAAAUAUAAGCACAA